rnacentral:rRNA from 1 species
UACGGGGGGGCAAGCGUUGUUCGGAAUUACUGGGCGUAAAGGGCUCGUAGGCGGCCAACUAAGUCAGACGUGAAAUCCCUCGGCUUAACCGGGGAACUGCAUCUGAUACUGGACGGCUUGAGUUCGGGAGAGGGAUGCGGAAUUCCAGGUGUAGCGGUGAAUGACGUAGAUAUCUGGAGGAACACCGGUGGCGAAGGCGGCAUCCUGGACCGGCACUGACGCUGAGGAGCGAAGCCAGGGGGAGCAACGGGA